AUUGAACGCUGGCGGCAGGCCUAACACAUGCAAGUCGAAUGGUAACAGGAAACAGCUUGCUGUUUCGCUGACGAGUGGCGGACGGGUGAGUAAUGUCUGGGAAACUGCCUGAUGGAGGGGGAUAACUACUGGAAGCGGUAGCUAAUACCGCAUAACGUCGCAAGACCAAAGAGGGGGGACCUUCGGGCCUCUUGCCAUCAGAUGUGCCCAGAUGGGAUUAGCUAGUAGGUGGGGUAACGGCUCACCUAGGCGACGAUCCCUAGCUGGUCUGAGAGGAUGACCAGCCACACUGGAACUGAGACACGGUCCAGACUCCUACGGGAGGCAGCAGUGGGGAAUAUUGCACAAUGGGCGCAAGCCUGAUGCAGCCAUGCCGCGUGUAUGAAGAAGGCCUUCGGGUUGUAAAGUACUUUCAGCGGGGAGGAAGGGAGUAAAGUUAAUACCCUUGCUCAUUGACGUUACCCGCAGAAGAAGCACCGGCUAACUCCGUG
rnacentral:rRNA from 1 species